rnacentral:rRNA from 1 species
UACAGAGGUCUCGAGCGUUGUUCGGAUUCAUUGGGCGUAAAGGGUGCGUAGGUGGCGCGUUAAGUCAGGUGUGAAAUUUCGGAGCUUAACUCCGAAACUGCAUUUGAUACUGGCGUGCUUGAGGACUGGAGAGGAGACUGGAAUUCAUGGUGUAGCAGUGAAAUGCGUAGAGAUCAUGAGGAAGACCAGUGGCGAAGGCGGGUCUCUGGACAGUUCCUGACACUGAGGCACGAAGGCCAGGGGAGCAAACGGG